GCAGCAUCCCUCUAUAAGAUCACUGAGAUGAGUUGAUGAGAAGCCUCCUCUAAUUCAUGUGGAGUGGUUUGUCUGUCUCAUUCUUUCUGUCUCCUUAACAGUGAGUCAACAUGAUCAGUAUUCUUAUCUCCAUCACCAUGGGUUACACAGUCUGGGCUGCAGCCAUAAGUAAUACUGCCGAAGGCGGCCCAGACUCGGGCCACAUGACGUCGGCCGAGUUUAACUCUCAGGCGGAAUCGGCCCAGAUCCACUGUGCUAGCUGGGAUAUCUACCAUUAUGGGUUUCAUUCUCACUGUGUCCUUACAGGUCUUGUUGAGGGGAGUGAAGUCACUCAGACACCCACCAUACUCUGGGAACUGAAAGAAAGUGAUGCUCAGAUGAACUGCAGUCACACUAAGGAUUCUAGCUACUUCCAGAUGUACUGGUACAGACAGCUUCCAGGAGAGGGAAUGAAGCAGGUAGUCUUCAUUACUCCCAGUUCUCAACCUGACUAUUCAGGGGAAUUCAGUAAAGACAAAUUCUCAGCCAGAAAGGCUGUAGCUGAGAGUGGAUCUUUCACAGUGAAGAAGUUGGAGACAGGAGACAGUGGAAUGUACUUCUGUGCUGUGAGUGAACACAGUGAUACAGACAACAA